UCAAGCUGGAAAGAGCACAGGGUGGAUGCCUGGGCACUAAGAGCCGAAGAAGGACGUGAUAAGCUGCGAAAAGCCACGGUGAGGAGCAAAUAUCCAUUGACCCGUGGAUGUCCGAAUGGGGAAACCCGGCUGAGAAGACCUCAGUCACUGUAUGGUGAAUCCAUAGCCAUGCAGGGGGAACCCGGGGAACUGAAACAUCUCAGUACCCGGAGGAAGAGAAAGAAACAUCGAUUUCCUAAGUAGCGGCGAGCGAAAGGGAAAGAGCCUAAACCGCUAUAGAAAUAUAGCGGGGUUACGGACCACAAUAAAGCUAACACGGUAGGUAGCAGAACGGUUUUGGGAAAGCCGGCCAUAGAGAGUGAAAGCCUCGUAUGCGAAACCGAAAGUGUGGCGAGUGGGAUCCAGAGUACCGCGGGGCACGUGAAAUCCUGCGGGAAGUCGGGGGGACCACCCCCCAAGGCUAAAUACUCCUUAGUGACCGAUAGUGCAAAAGUACUGUGAAGGAAAGGUGAAAAGAACCCCGGGAGGGGAGUGAAAGAGAACCUGAAACCCUGUGUUUACAAGCUGCGAAAGCACCGUAUGAGUGCGAUCGCGUACUUUUUGUAGAACGGUCCGGCGAGUUACUGUUGCAGGCGAGGUUAAGGCCGAAGGAAGGCUGGAGCCGAAGGGAAACCGAGUGUUAAGAGCGCGUAAAGUCUGUAGCAGUAGACCCGAAACCGGGUGAUCUACCCAUGUCCAGGUUGAAGCCGCCGUAAAAGGCGGUGGAGGACCGAACACACAUCCGUUGAAAAGGGUGGUGAUGAGGUGUGGGUAGGGGAGAAAUUCCAAUCGAACUCGGAGAUAGCUGGUUCUCCUCGAAAUAGCUUUAGGGCUAGCCUCGAUUUAGAUUAACGGAGGUAGAGCACUGAAUUGCCUAGGGGGCGUCAAAGCUUACCGAAGCAUAUCAAACUCCGAAUGCCGUAUAAUCGAUGAUCGGGAGUCAGACUACACGAGAUAAGUUGGGUAGUCAAAAGGGAAAGAGCCCAGACCACCGGCUAAGGUCCCAAAGUGCGUGUUAAGUGGAAAAGGAUGUGGGAUUUCGAAGACAACUAGGAUGUUGGCUUAGAAGCAGCCAUACAUUCAAAGAGUGCGUAAUAGCUCACUAGUCGAGAGGUCCUGCGCCGAAAAUUCUCGGGGCUAAAACACGCCACCGAAGCUGUGGAAACGUACGAUAGUGCGUUUGGUAGAGGAGCAUUCUUAAAUCGGCGAAGCUGUACCGAAAGGAGCAGUGGAGAUUUAAGAAGAGAGAAUGCCGGAAUGAGUAGCGAGAUAGAAGUGAGAAUCUUCUAGGCCGAAUAUCCAAGGUUUCCAGGGUAAAGCUGAUCUGCCCUGGGUAAGUCGGGACCUAAGGCGAGGCCGAGAGGCGUAGUCGAUGGAUAACAGGUUGAAAUUCCUGUACCUCAUACAGACAGAACUGUGGGGACACGGAAGGGUAGGAAGAGCCGGGAAAGGAAAGACCGGUGCAAGCACAAAGGCGAGCCAUAGAGGCAAAUCCCUAAGGUGAUGCUGAAGUGUGAUGCGGAGCGAAGUUAGAAGUAGCGAAGCUUCCGAACCCAUGCCGUCGAGAAAAGCCGCUAUUGUUCUGUAUGAGCCCGUACCGUAAACCGACACAGGUGGAUGAGGAGAGAAUCCUAAGGCCGACGGGUGAAGCAUUGUUAAGGAACUCGGCAAAAUGGCCCCGUAACUUCGGGAGAAGGGGCGCCUGAGAGAUCAGGCCGCAGAGAAAUGGCCCAAGCAACUGUUUAGCAAAAACACAGGUCUAUGCGAAACCGAAAGGUGAAGUAUAUGGGCUGACGCCUGCCCGGUGCUGGAAGGUUAAGGGGAGAGGUUAGCCGAAAGGCGAAGCUUUGAACUUAAGCCCCAGUAAACGGCGGCCGUAACUAUAACGGUCCUAAGGUAGCGAAAUUCCUUGUCGGGUAAGUUCCGACCCG
rnacentral:rRNA from 1 species